rnacentral:rRNA from 1 species
CGGGGGGAGCAAGCGUUGCUCGGAUUUACUGGGCGUAAAGGGCGCGUAGGCGGCCACCGCAAGUCGACUGUGAAAUCUCCGGGCUUAACCCGGAAAGGUCAGCCGAUACUGCGGGGCUAGAGUGCAGAAGGGGCAACUGGAAUUCUCGGUGUAGCGGUGAAAUGCGUAGAUAUCGAGAGGAACACCUGCGGCGAAGGCGGGUUGCUGGGCUGACACUGACGCUGAGGCGCGAAAGCUAGGGGAGCGAACGGGAUUAGAUACCCCGGUAGUCCUAGCCUUAAACGAUGAAUGCUUGGUGUCUGGGGUUUUAUAGUCCCCGGGUGCCGUCGCUAACGCUUUAAGCAUUCCGCCUGGGGAGUACGGUCGCAAGACUG